rnacentral:tRNA from 1 species
GGUGUAGCUCAGUGGUAGAGUGCUUGCCUAGCAUGCACACAAGCCUGGGUUUGAUCCCCAGCACC